rnacentral:tRNA from 1 species
GGGGCUGUAACUCAGUGGUAGAGUGCCUGCCUCGAAUGUACGAGGCACUGGGUUCAAUCCUCAGCACCA